rnacentral:misc_RNA from 1 species
GCAGAUGGAGCCAAGGGCCUUGUCAAAGGCGCAAUUGGGCAGCCAAGGCUGCUGGUUCCUGUUAUCUUAGUCAUGAUUUAUAACCGGUGGAAUGAGAUCCUUGUUCCAGAUUAUGGAUUUAUGGACUUAGAAUUGAUACCAAUGCUAGUGGGAUUUUUCACGUACAAGAUUGCAACUUUCGCUCAAGCUUUAGAGGAUGCACUUACUGCAACCGUUGAAAAGGAAAGUUUAAGAUGAACUUUCAUAUGCAGGGGUUAGCCCUUCUGACAUGGCUGCA